CUCAGCAAACCUCAGAUAACCAUGACUUCCUCCACAACCCCGAUUAGUCAGGGGAAACAGCUGCCCGCUGUAGGCACGUGCAAUUACCCAUUAGGAGGGAAGCGGCAAAGGCAAACACGACUGCACAAAUCUAUUUCUGAUUGCUCCAAGGUUUGUGAGGGACCCUGUAACGAUAAAUGCAGCCCAUUGUUGCGAUCAGUCAACCUCCUUUCUCUUCAGGGCAAAAUCAAAAAGAGCUGCAGGAGCCAAAGGCCAGCGAGAGAGCUAGUAAACAUAAUCUCCCUCUAUUUACAGCAGGAGAUAGAAAUCAAUCUGCAGACAGAAGCCGACAUCAGAGCAAGAGCAGAGGAGGGCAGGUAUGCUUUUUAAUGAACCGUUUCUGCAUGGCAAAAGGCACCGUGAAACCCUCGCUGUCAAGGCAACAAGGCCUUGCCUAUGCAUUUAUAUGUCAGAUAUAUUUCAUACGCAGGGGGAGCAAAAGCAGCACCACCUCUAUGCUGUUUAAUGCUGCUUUAUGCGCAUUACUUCCUACACUGGCGUCUGUGUGUGCAUGCAUGUCAGGGUUCAACUAAAGAUAGGGUGCAAAAGUGCACAAUGCAAAAUAUGACUUUGAUAACGGCGAGCAUAAGACCGAGACUGAAAGCGAGCAAAGAAGGAGAAGGAGAACGAGGACAUUCCUUUGACCUCUUGAGGGAGUUUCAUGGUUGUUACAUUAAGGUAUCUGAGCAACAGGACUCUUCAGCUGCUGACAACACUCAUACUGAAAGCAGGAGCUGAUAUUUUAACACCACAUUACACAGACCAGAGCCAGCAGACUCAACUGGUUUUAAACAGCUAUAAGAAAAAAGACGUAUAUGCUUACUAAAACUAUUCGUUCAGAGAAAAGCUGUUUUUUGUAUAAUUUUGAACCGAGAAACUAAUCAAAAAUCAAGAAAACAGUUAAAUUAGCUCACUCUGCUCUGUUUUGAUAAUAUUUGGAUUAUUUCCAGCUCACUGCUUUAGAUUGUUUAAUAGAAAGAAAUUUAUUUAAAAUGUUAUCCCAGAUUAAUUUUUAGCUCCAUCGCUUCCAAAAAUUUUAACCAUUAUAGUACAAUACAAUUCAGCAACCUCCAGUUUUUUCUUCCUCUCUAUAGUUUCUUGUUUGACUUUCAGGUUGUCCAAGAUCUUCUGGUGGUCGGAGAAGGAAAACGAUAAAAAUCAUCACAAAAUGACACCAUGCUGUUGUAGGUUACCUAUGCGCUUUCGGAUCAACAUAUCCUAUUGUGAAAGUUUUUUUUUCCCAUCUUCUGUAAUCGACAUAAGACAGCAACAUAAUUACAAACCAUCAUGCAGCCACCUCAAAUUAAUUAGAAAUAAAAACUUUCAACUUGUUUGUCUGUAAUAACAUGCUCUCUGAUGAACUUUGUUGCUUCAUUGCUCUACAUCAACAAGUUCCAAUGUACCUUGUAAAGCAGUGCACAAAAAAUGCCUUUUUCCACAUGACUUAACAAAACAACUAAUCCUAAAUUAGUUGGAUUGUAUUGGAGACAAAAAAAAAUCCUUAUUGGAACGUCCUUUCUCAGAAAACAAAACAAGACGUACACAAUCUCAACUUUGCUUCUUGCUUACUCAGCAUGCAGUUUUUGCUAAAAAAACAAACAAACAAAAAAAACCCUUCUUUUUUGAAAAUCAUUGAAUAAAGGCUCCUAUAAUCAUCUUUCUUUUUAUGUAAGACAAAUGUAACCAGCUGCUUUUUUUCCUGGUCAAUUCCAGAUUCACAUUGUAGGGACUAACAUAGACUCGUCUCCUUUUUGUAUGUAUUUUCUACGCCUUUGCUGCCGUCUGCCUCACAAAUUACUUGACUUGAAUGGUCCUGGACCGAUAUAUAUUGCAUUGUUAGUAUAACUAUGAACCAAGUCGACCCCUUAUGUCAUCAGAAACCCACUCACUCAGUUUGCCCAGGACCAGAAUUGAACCAGGAGAAGCAGCAUUUAGUUUCUAUGCUCUUCUAUGAAACAAACUCCCUGAAAACCUGAAAUAUGCAGCAACUGUUAACUUCUUCAAAUCCAGAACCAAACACAUUUUUGUUCCUGCAGCUUUCAAUCAAAGAAUCCCACUAACAAACUGUUUUCACUAAUCACAAAUGAGUGGCUGAAACAUGAGAUCGAAGAUAACAAUCGUUGCUCUUGGAGUCUAAUAACACCUGGCAGUGAUUUGUUUUAAAUUUGCAUUUUGACAUGUUUCCUUCGAUGCAAUGCUUUUCAGUGUUUGCUGUGUAAAAGCAAAGCUCAAAUAUUUUUCCCAUUUCAUUGUGUGUUUUUUUUUAGUUUUUUUUUUGAGUUCUCGUUGUGCUCUUUGGAAGUGUAUAGCUGGAGCUAUGCUAACAUACUCGCCUGCUUGCCCUGUUUGCAGGUAUUUUAUAAAACUUAAAGGUGAAGCCGUUUCUUUCAAAAUGGAUGAGAUCGUAUUGCACUUUUUUGUUUUGCAUUUUUGCACAAAUACCGUGAAACCGCAGCGUUUCUAAUCAAGGUGAUCGUACAGAGGGAGAGAGACUCGUACCCAUAUCAGAUGACUUAGCCAUGAAGGCUCACAUGACACCUUGUCUCUUCCAGUUUUAAGUCGCACCUUUUACACAGUAUUCUGUGUUCAUCAGUGGCUCGGCCUAUACGUCGUAUUUUCUAAAACAGCAGAAAAGCUUUGGAACAAAUUAUUGCUGUACAUCACAAUAGCUGCUUUUUCCGCAUUUUUGCCCCUCAGUCAUAUUUCCCAAGCUUUUUCAUUUUCCUUCCCAUUCCCAUUUUUAGCUUGCUGCUUCAAAUGCAACACGGAGGCCGAGCCCGCGCAGCAGCAUGAAAGCCCACCUUUAUCAACCUUAAAUCUGCCAAUGAUCACUUUUCCACGUUGUCCUAUUUAAGCUUCCCGACACCAGUGGGCUACCGGGAAGCUCAUGUUUAAAUGAGGAGCCUCGGGCUCAAUGAACAGAGAGCCUCUUUCACAAUCAACAGACAAAUAUUCCCCACUUCUGAUGUCAGUGCACUGCCCUCAGCAUUCUGGGGAACUGACUCACUCCAGCUAUGAUAGGAGAAAAUGCAAACAGCAGAGCCUCCGUGAGGGACGGUUUCCUGCCGAGGUGCCUGAGAAAAGCCAAGGUGAGGUUGUGUGGGAGGGGUCCUCCUCCGCUUGCCCCGGGGGUAACAUUGCUAUUAUAUUACUCUUCCUUUCUCAUCUCAAAAUUACCAACGAGUAUGCGGAAAGUUACAAUUAUUUUCUUUUUUUUUUUUUUAAAGAAAUCUCCUUAGAGAAGCAAAGACACCCAAAGAUAUGAACAUACUGUUGCUACUUUGUUUUUUGUUUUUUUCCCCUCCUCCGUUUGCCCCAAAAGCAACAAGAGUGCUGCCAGGGGAAUUUAAAGUGCUUUCACCAAAAUAGACCACAGCUCCGUCAAGGAGAAAGACCUCUCAGUAAAUACUGAUGAGAAGCCACUCCGAGCCUCAAAUUACUUUAACAAACGACGCAGCGCAGAAGAAGCCCAACAUUUUGGCUGCUGGAGGAAUCAAAGUGGGUGUGAGGGUCUAAGCAUGGACGGCGUUAAUCUGAGAGAAGCCAGGAUGUCUUUUUUUUUUUUUCUUUCCUCCCUGGGAAUAUAAGGUUGAGAAAGAACAAAAAAAAAAAAUGGGUGGGUGUGUGCAUGCAAGUGUGCAGAAAGGGAGAAAAGGGAGAGAGAAAGAGCAGCUGUGGAAAGGGCUGAACAGACAGCUUUUGUCCCAAUAAUAGCUCAGAACCGGGGAAACGUUUUGCACAAGGGACUUGGAAUAAUUUGGGACUUUUUGAUUUACUUUGGAGAAAAAAAAAAAUGCUGUAACUUUCCCAUUUGGAAAUAUUUCUAAAAGCAUCAAUGACGAGGCAACGCGGCAGACGUAAAAACGUAUUUGCUUCUUACUAUCUUUCCCUCGCUGAUGGGACGGCUCAGGAUGGGAAAGUGCAUGUGGGUGGUUGUUUUUGACACCUUUCAACUUACAUCAGAGUUGUGAAGUCAGAGCAAGCUGCUAUAAGACAGUACUUACACUCCCUGAACAGUUUCAAGCAUCUUAGUGGGGUUUUGUUUGCUGGACAAUCACAAAGUACAUGAUUCUAAAAAAGAAAGAAAACAUAUAUGGUCUUAAAGAUGCCAAAUAAAAAUUUGAAGUGUGACUUUGACUAGGCCAUUCUAACACGUAAACCAUAACAUUGUAGUUUCAGCUGAUGUAGUUUCAAGCCUUCUGCAGCUUCUAACAGGUUUUCUCCAAGCAGUGUUUUGUAUUCAGCUGCAUCCAUAUUUCCUGCUGAAGAAAAACAUCUGCACAGCAUGAUGCUGCCACCACCGUGUUUCAGAGCGAGGAUGGUGUUCUCGGAGUGAUGUGCAAAUUCAGUUUGCUACCACAUGUAGCAUUCUGAAUACAUAACCACUCAGGAAUGCACCGAUAUUAAAAAUUGGGCUGAUAUCGAUAUCCAAAAUUUAUUCUGCCGCUGUGGCCGAUAACCAGUCUACAUUUUCCUGCACUUUAGGUUUUUAAUAUCUAAACGGUUUUACUUAUCGGACUAAUACCGAUACGAUAAGAAAUUACCAACAUUGGCAGAUGCCAAUGUUGAUGCAUAUUCAUGAUACAAACCUAAUAGAAGCACACAGCACUUUUCAGGUUUUAUCUAU